UAAAUAAUUAGUUAUUUAAAGUAACACACAAUCGGUUUAAUACAUGGAUUUGAAUACUUAAGUAAAUGGCCUCCAUAAUAAUUGCUUAUCUUGCUUAAGACAUUAAGCUAUAGCAGCAAGCCUUCAGUGGAAUUCUGGGAUCAUGGUGCUUUUGUAUAGUGAGGUAAGCUGAUUUAAUCAACAGCCUUCAAUGAAAAAGGAGAUCUAUUUUUGUUUUAUUGUAUUUGACGGGAGUGCCCCAUCAUCAGAUUAGCGCUUAAUCUCUUACCCUCUUUAACUCUGGCAAUGGAUGUGGGGUGUCACAGAAUCUCACUUGUUUGUGUAAAAGUAGGCUACAUGUUCAGUAUGCCUAAUUUUUGUGAUUUAUGCGACCAGUCGAGCUCUAAGUCAAAGGAACUGUUUUAUCUAAUAGUUGCAUAAAUACAAAAAAGAAGAAGAAAGCGAAUUCUGUCAUUAUUUAAUUUAUUAUUUACUGUUCAUUUUUCUCACCGUCGAAGCUCUGCUCUAAAAUGAACUACAAAAGCCAUAAAGACUACAAAAAAUGGCGCCUAUCACCGUUGACGCCAAAUGUGAUUGGUUCUCGUGUGUCUCAUGGCCAAACGUCUUUGACGUCAACGGCGCCAUAUUUGAUUUGGGAGCUAAAGAAUAGUGGAAGAUUGCCAUAAAAUAUAAAUUUAAAAUAAAUAACUGUGUUUUGUUACAAAAAAAGUAGCAAGAUAAUCUUCAAAAAUUCACCUUUUGUUUGUGUUUCAUGGAAGUAAGAAAAUCUGGAUUUUGAAUGUCACGAGGAAUAAUUUUUUUUACUGGUUUGGAACGACAUGAGGGGUUCCAGUUUCAUAAAAGUGCUCCAGCAUGUGCAACCUCAUGGGAUGAAGCAAAAGGAUGCUGUACUGGAGGAGAGAACGAGCCGAUUACGUGAUAGACCUACCUCGCUCUCUAGCAGGGACCUCCCUGACCCACCCUCCCCCUUCCAGAGCCAAAUGGAAAGAGAAGGUCUGGUUAUUUCUGUGAUCUCUGUCCAUGAAUUGUUAAUGCCUUUGAAUUGGCUGACUGCGCUUUGCUGAGCCUGAGCUGGUUAAUUAGACCUAAGGGACCGAGCAAGAGAGAACAAAACUGACAAAGAAAAGUGGCAUCAUCUACUCUGAGAGUGUGCACAGUGGAUGUCACCAGGUUGAAUGAGAAGAGAAAUCUAUGUAUCUGAUGUUAUAACUCAUCCAGUGUCACAGAGUAACUUUUGCAUUAAAGGGAAACAUUUGACCACUGUUUUUAACUGGAAUAAAACUGGAAUUGUAAUUGA